UGAACGCUAGCGACAGGCCUAACACAUGCAAGUCGAGGGGCAGCACAAGGAGCAAUCUGAGGUGGCGACCGGCGCACGGGUGAGUAACACGUAUGCAACCUGCCUGUAAGCGGGGAAUAACCCGUUGAAAGACGGACUAAUACCGCAUAAUACUAAAUUACUGCAUGGUAAUUUAUUUAAACAUCUAUGGCUUACAGAUGGGCAUGCGCAUGAUUAGCUAGUUGGAGAGGUAACGGCUCCCCAAGGCAACGAUCAUUAGGGGUUCUGAGAGGAAGGUCCCCCACACUGGUACUGAGACACGGACCAGACUCCUACGGGAGGCAGCAGUGAGGAAUAUUGGUCAAUGGACGAGAGUCUGAACCAGCCAAGUCGCGUGCAGGAAGAAUGUCCUAUGGAUUGUAAACUGCUUUUGCAGGGGAAUAAAGUGCAUCACGUGUGAUGUUUUGUAUGUACUCUGCGAAUAAGGAUCGGCUAACUCCGUGCCAGCAGCAGC
rnacentral:rRNA from 1 species